UUUCACCUGCCUAACUUCACUCACUAGGUCUUUCACCUGGUUUCACUCACCAAGAUUUCCCAAUUGCUUAGUUUCACUCAUUAGGUUUUUCACCUGCCUAAUCUCCAGUUAGGACUAUCCUAGUUAAGUAUCCGGCCAAACCUUUGACCUACUUGACUUUCUUCACAUCUAACUGAUCAGUUCUAGAUCAGAGGGGAAUUGUAUCAACAAUCUCCCUAAUAGGUUGAUUGCUCCUACAAUCUCCAUAUAUUAUCAAACAUCGAAAUCCAAACAUCGAAACUCAAACUUGAGCCAACUCGAACUUAGUCAACCUGGUCAACCUUGACUCAGGCGAUAUUGCACCAUUAGUAUGUACCUCCUCUUCCUCGACCUCUGCCUCUUCCUCAUCCUCUAUCACUUCUACCAUUUGUAGAGUGAUUUUCUGAUAAAACCUUCAAUAUUUGCUCCUCUUUUUCAUAUUGAUUAAUUUUAUGCUCAUAAACUAAUAAUGAAAUUUGUAAUUCAUCAAUUGAAAAUAGACUUAUAUCAUUUGCUUCUUCAGUGGCAUAGACAAUAAAAUUAAAUUUUGGUGUCAUAGAUCGAAAACUUUUUUCGAUGAUGAGAACAUCCUCUAUCUUGUCGCCAAGGUCCGUAUUUUGUUGAUGAUUGUCAUCGUUCUUGAAAAAUAAUCUAAAAUUGAUUUUCCUGAUUUCAUUCGGUUUAUUUCGAACUCUGAAAGAAGUGAUUGAAACUACUGCAUCUUAGCUCUUGUCGUACCUUAGUACUUCUUUUUCAUAAAAUCCCAGAUAUCUUUGGCAGUAUCCUUGCAGAGAAUGGUUUCCAAGAUUGAGCGAUCAAUAGUUUGGAAGAGAUAAUUCUUUGCUUUAAGAACUUUCAAUUGCGCAACUAUUAGCGCAACACCUUCUAUCGGUUCUGUUACUCCAAAAAUCACGACCGUUUAAUAUUCUUUGGAUCUUAAAAAAAUUCUCCAUGAGCAUACUCCAAUGGUCAUAGUGGCCAUCAAAUCGAGGAAUGAUAGGUUGUACAAAACUUUCGGAAGACAUAACCUCUUUGAGACCUCGCUCUGAUACCACCGAUAAAAAAAAUAGAUGAGUCGAGAACACAAGGAGGAUAAAAUAAUAAGUUUUUUACAUAUCUUCAUUGAUCAUUACAUAUCCUAUUUAUAGGUUAAUACAUCACACAUAUUAAAAAAACUCACUAACUCUACUAACACCACAACAUUAACUACUAACACCACAUUACAACCAUUAUCCUCUACCUCUAACUCAACUUGCCAAUUCAUUAACCCACUAACAUCACAUUACAACUAUUACCCUAUUAUUUCUUUCCACUAACUCAAUUAAAAUAUGCCCACUAACACAUUAAUUUUAUCAACUAACACAUUAAUUUUAUCAAUAAUGGUUAGCUCUCAGUUGUUUAUUCAGGCCUGCCAAACUGUUGAUCUAAUUCAAUGCAUAUGUUUUAGGCCUUGGAAAGCUGCCUGCUCGGGGAGAAAGUGAGGAAGAAAGAACUAAAGCUCGACUCGGAAGGUUUAGGUGGAUAAAGCAACUGCGGCUUGGAUGCCAAAAGAUGGACAAAGCCCACAAGUCGGUCAAGAAAUUUCAAGCCAUUCCAAUUGCACACCUUCGACAAAAAUAAUU